rnacentral:rRNA from 1 species
AGGACGAACGCUGGCGGCGUGCUUAACACAUGCAAGUGGAGCGACGAACCAGGGCUUGCCCUGGGGCAGAGCCGCGAACGGGUGAGUAACACGUGGGUUACCUGCCUCGAUGACCGGGACAACCCGAGGAAACUCGGGCUAAUACCGGAUGUGCCCGCAAGGGGAAAGGAAGCUUCGGCCUCCGCAUCGAGAUGGGCCCGCGGCCCAUUAGCUUGUUGGUGAGGUAACGGCUCACCAAGGCUUCGAUGGGUAGCUGGUCUGAGAGGACGAUCAGCCACACUGGGACUGAGACACGGCCCAGACUCCUACGGGAGGCAGCAGUGGGGAAUCUUGCGCAAUGCGCGAAAGCGUGACGCAGCAACGCCGCGUGGGGGAAGAAGGCCCUCGGGUUGUAAACCCCUUUCAGUUGGGACGAAGCUUCGUCGGUUAAUAGCCGACUGGAGUGACGGUACCUUCACAAGAAGCACCGGCUAACUACGCGCCAGCAGCCGCGGU